CCUUGUACUUUCUCCUUUGUCCCUUCUCUACCCUCCUGACUCCUCACUCUACAUCUCAAGUUGCUCCCGUAGGUUGCUGAGUUCCAGUGGCUAGAUCACUAUAUUAUUGGAGGGUAUGGGCUAGAACGAGAGCCAGUGGCUGGUCAACAACGUGAUCCGGACACGGAGGCAAGCUGAGGUGGAAGAAGAUGAUAUGAGCACUUUCAUCCCCAUUUUCCAGGGUCUAUUUUUUCAAAAAGUCUUUACUUUCAUCUAAAUGGAAUGACCUGAUCCCCUGGGCUAGAACAAUGGAGGACUUGGAGGGGACAAGCUGAUGCCACUCUUGUCUGUGGAACCUUAAGAAUUUGAAGACAUCUCAGACCUCUGGGAGCACCCCGGGAUCCUCAGGAAUGCCUAAAGUAGGUUCAGCUGAAAGCAGCCCAAAGUCUAGGCAUUGUUGUGGCCUGACUAGCCCCAACGAAACUGAAAAGGAAGCCAAGUGUGAAUGUUUCCCUCUCUGGAUGCCAGCCUGCUUCUGAAGAGUGUUCUCUGACCCAGGCAGCUAUGAUCACAGUUCUCAGCUAUUUAACAGAAAGUGAACAGAUGGAAGUCGGUGGAAAUCCACAUGUUUGGUUAGCAAAUGCCCUCACACCCAAAUCUGGGGAUGAAGAAGGCUGGAAUUUCUGUUUUAUCAAAGGUGAAAGGUCAUGGUGAAGGGGCUGAUGCUAUAGCAAUUACCAAGGAAAUGCUAGAAAUUGAUAAUGCAUAACUUGGUGUUCCUCUUCUGCUUAUAUUGUUAGUAGGAUGAAUCCCCCAAGAAUACUUAUUGAACAAAAUUGGUUUGAAGAAAGGAUUUUAAUCCAGGAUUGAGAAAUACUUAUCAUUGUGCCUGGCAUAUAGUAGAUGCUUAAUGCAUGUUUAUUGAUUGAUUAAUGGAUUGAAAAGAUGACUUUCUGCUUCAUUAGCUUGCCUUGAAAACCCUUAGCACCUGAAGUUCAUUCAUUAAUGUGUCAACUUCCAAGAUGGCACCCAAAACCUGAGACUCUUAGAGAGAGUAAAGUUGAGAGAAUAAUUGUUGUGAAUUUAUUCCUCUGCUGGGGAGCAAGCAUUCUGAUCAGUGUGACCUGGCUGAUAAAACAUCUUGAUAUAGCUGCAUAUUUUUGGCAUAAAAGAUGCCAGCAACGUUACCACAGUGCAAGCAAAAUAAUGAACCCCUGGAAGAUUUUCACCAAAACUUCUGUGUUAGGUAGAAGUUAAAAAAUAGAAGAUGGAGAAACCUACGGAAAAUAUUUGAAGGACAGAGAAAGGACAUUAAAGGAUAUCAGGUCAGAUGACUUGCAUCUUUAUAUAAUCACAGAAAUUCA
ensembl:lncRNA